rnacentral:rRNA from 1 species
AUGGACUUCGCCGUGGACGCUGCGCUCUGGGUGUUGGGCAAGGCUCUGGCCCCGGUCACGGACGGCCUGCUGGAGCCAUGGGCGGCCAGCGCCGGGCUUGGCCACAACAUCGACGCCCUCAAGAUGGAGCUCCUCUACGCUCAGGGGAUGCUCGACAACACGCAGGGCAGGGAAUUUCGAAGCCCCGCGCUCAAGGAGCUUCUACACAAGCUCCGGGAGCUCGCGUACAGGGCUGACGACGUGCUUGACGAGCUUGACUACUUCCGCAUCCAGGACGCGCUCGAAGGCACUUACCACGCCACCGCCGACUUGGAUGCACAGGGCUGCAUUGAUGGCCUCGUCCUCAAUGCUCGGCACACUGCCAGGGCCACCGCUCAUAAGCUCAGGCUCUCACCAUGUUCGCCUGGUGCUAGUGCUAGCCGUGGCGAUCCCGGCGACGAAGCAGAAGGUGGGGGGAAACAAGGAUGCCUGUUUAGCAUCCGCACUCGUGGCAGGCAUCAAAUCAGCUCCCCACCAGCGUCACCCACCAACAAUGGUGGAUGCAUUUCCAAGGUUAUUUCUCGUGCUCGCAGCUCUGCCCACAUUAUCGGUAAGAAUCUCACAUGCUACUCUUUCCCGUCCGUCGACCACGAUGACGAUACCAUGUUGGAACGACGGUUCCUUUGUGGCGCCUGGCAGUCCAAGGCAGUACAGAGAAAUCAUGUAGUGCAAACUCCAAAAAAGGAAUUUGAUAGGGUGGGGAUGUCCCAUAAGAUGAUAGAAAUAGUGGAGCAGCUGAAAGCCCUAUGUGGAAAGGUCUCCACCAUCCUCAGUCUAGAGCUAUUGGGUUCUAGUCGUACCUCUAACCAAGACAGUACUAUGAACAGACCCAAAACCACCCCAAAUAUUGUAGAGUCUGAGUUAUAUGGGAGGGAUGGCCAGAAAAAGAGCAUCGUGGAUGAUAUUACACAUGGUAAGUAUUGUACAGAUGAACUUACUGUGGUUCCACUUGUUGGUCCGGGUGGUAUUGGGAAGACAACACUCACACAACACAUAUUUAGAGAACUCGAGAGUUCUUUCCAAGUUUCAGUUUGGAUAUGUGUCUCUCUCGAUUUUAAUGCAGAUAGGUUGAUACAAGAGAUUGUGAACAAGCUCCCUAAAGUGAACGGUGAAAAGGAUAAUGCUAGCAACCAAGAGUUAAUUGAACAAAGAUUAAAAUCUAAGCGGUUGUUGCUUGUUUUAGAUGAUGUGUGGACAUAUCAUGAGGAUGAGUGGAAAAAACUAUUAGCUCCAUUGAAACAUAAUGAUGGAGAAAAGGGUAAUGUGGUUAUAGUCACUACACGAAUUCCAAAGGUAGCAAGUAUGGUCACCACAACUAAUUCUUCAAUCAACGUGGAACGUUUAAGUCAUGAGGAUACUAUGUCUUUCUUCGAAGUAUGUGUAUUUGGUGACCAACGACCAUGGGAAGACCAUCCUGAAUUACGUGAUGUUGGGAAUAGAAUAGUAACAAAAUUGAAGGGUUUCCCUCUUGCAGCAAAAACAGUUGGUAGGUUACUAAGAAACCAGCUUACCUUGGACCACUGGACAAGAGUUGCAGAAAGUAGAGAAUGGGAAUUACAGACCAACGACAUUGACAUUAUGCCUGCCCUAAAGCUUAGCUAUGAUUAUCUCCCUUUUCAUCUACAACAAUGUUUUUCCUAUUGUGCAUUGUUUCCAGAAGAUUAUGAAUUUGGUAGCAAAGAGUUGACUCACUUCUGGAUAGGACUAGGCAUUAUAAGGUCACAUGAUAAGGCCAAAAGAACAGAAGGUGUUGCACUGUGCUAUUUAGAUGACUUGGUAAAUCAUGGAUUCUUUAGAAAGAAUGAGAAAGAAAAUGGUCCUCGUUAUGUUAUUCAUGACCUACUGCAUGACUUGGCAGUGAAGGUUUCAUCAUAUGAAUGCCUUUGCAUAUAUAGUUCUAAUGUGAGGUCCAUACAAAUUCCUGCAUCUGUACGUCACUUGUCCAUUAUUGUAGAAAAUACCGAUGUCAAAGAUAUAAUCACUUUUAAAGAAUACAACAGUUAUUUGAGUGCACCUAUGUUUUUAAGGCGACGCCUUACCGCCUUAGGGAGGGGGGGCGCUUUGGCGCCUAGGCGACGCCUAGGCGGGCGCUUUGGACGCCUAGGCGCCCAAAGCGGUCGAUUUUCCAAAGCGGAGGGGGAGCGCUUCGACGCCUAG